GGAAGACCUAAAAAUCUCCAGGACGAAGAGGGAAAGGUUUCUAUUUAUUUCAGCAGAAAGAAAAAGAUUGACGGAAUUUCAAGCUGCGUCUGUUUGUCAAUGUUCAAGUGGUUGAAUCUCCGAUAUCCUAUAAACAUGUCAAAAUGUGGA